rnacentral:rRNA from 1 species
CGAACGGGUGAGUAACGCGUGAGGAACCUGCCUCAAAGAGGGGGACAACAGUUGGAAACGACUGCUAAUACCGCAUAAGCCCACGGGUCGGCAUCGACCAGAGGGAAAAGGAGCAAUCCGCUUUGAGAUGGUCUCGCGUCCGAUUAGCUAGUUGGUGAGGUAAUGGCCCACCAAGGCGACGAUCGGUAGCCGGACUGAGAGGUUGAACGGCCACAUUGGGACUGAGACACGGCCCAGACUCCUACGGGGAGGCAGCAUG